rnacentral:rRNA from 1 species
UACGUAGGGGGCAAGCGUUGUCCGGAUUUAUUGGGCGUAAGGAGCGUGUAGGCGGCUAGGCAGGUCUGCUGUGAAAACUCGAGGCUCAACCUCGAGAUGUCGGCGGAAACCGUCUGGCUAGAGUCCGGAAGAGGAGUGUGGAAUUCCCGGUGUAGCGGUGAAAUGCGCAGAUAUCGGGAAGAACACCCGUGGCGAAGGCGGCACUCUGGACCAUAACUGACACUGAGGCACGAAAGCCGGGGGAGCAAACAGG